GGGGGAGUAGCUCAGCUGGGAGAGCGCUGCGUUCGCAAUGCAGAGGUCGGGAGUUCGAUCCUCCUCUUCUCCA
rnacentral:tRNA from 2 species